UUUUUAAUCGCCGAGCUUCGUAUUUCUAAGCCCCAGUUUAAGUGUUAACUUAAGUCUUAAUUUAAACCUUUUCUGUGAGAUGAAAUCUUAGCCGUAGUUAUAAGCUAUAAGCUAUAUGCUACCAGGGCUAAUAGGGAAACCUGUUAACCUCCCCCAUUUGGAAAGGUGAACAUGCU
rnacentral:ncRNA from 1 species